UUGUAACCCAUACGGAAUUUUUAUUUAGGAAAAGGGAUUUUCAAACGAGCGCAGUCGUAAGUAAAGACGUGUAGUUGCUAUUUUUAUAUAAAAAAAUCAGGUAGGUAGUUAAAAAUUGUUGCCUACCUGCGGAUAUCAAAACAUUAAUAGUUUCUACCUGAGUGACAAAAUUUUAGGUAUUAAAAAGAUUUAAAAACGCUAUGCAAUGUAUGUAUAAAGUACUGCCAACUCGUUUCCGUCCACACCAAGAUACGAGAUUUGGUUGAUGCCAAAUAAUUAAGACUUUAUAAACAAGUGUAAAAAUAAUUCCGCGUUGUAAUAGUGAAAGAAACAAUGCGAAAAUACGGUUUUGAAAUAGGUAGUAAGUACCUAUUCCGAUGAUUAGUUAGGUCAUAGGACUUUUAUUAGGUGUUCGAUGACUCAAACAAACCCCCUUUAGAAUGUGCCAAAAUCACGUUACGAACGUGCCGUGUCGUUUCGUUUUGGUUGCACGAGAGACCAACUCGUGUAUUACGCGACAGUAUCUGUACCAAUCACAAUGAAAGAACAUGGAUCUUCGUGUCGUGGUUUUAUACCACAUUCUAGAGGGCUACUCUCGCAAAGCUGCAAUCGAAAUACCUAUACCUGUACUUGCCUACACACCAUCCCCAGGAUACAGAAGGCCAGCGUGACCCGCAUAUCUCUUGACUGGCUGACCGCGUGUAAUCAAACUUUGAGAAUUUAAAGGCCUAUAAAAUUGUAGAGAACUGCUAUGCUGAUUAAGGAACAAUAAACUUUGAGAGAACUGGAAAAUUAUAAAGUGUGGAAUUGAUAAGAAACGCUGUUAUGUUCAUUUUGUGUUAUUAUCAGUUUAAUUUUAAUUUUUCAAAUAAUUUCAAAAAAGUUUAUUCUAUCAACUAGUUAUAUCCUAAUUUCCCACUAUUGCUUUUUAAUUAAAAUAGAAAAAAAAAUUGUAAAAAAACACUUAGCGGCUAAAACAUUACUCAGUUUUAGACUUUCUGCACGUCUACGAAAUAGUUUCAACUCGAUAAGAAAGCAUUCACUGUUUAUGCACAAACAUAUUUUUCUAGAACUUAAUAUUGUGUAUAAAAUUAAUAGCACUUUUCUUGUUUAAACCCAUGGAAUAUGUUCCUACAUAUAGUUAGAUUAUUGAUAAGGUUUCAUAACCUGUAUCAACCUCUAUUAUAUUAUUAUCAUUAUAAAACAAUCCCUGUCAAUGGUAACAGAAAAAUUAGGUAAUUUAUAAUAUAUUGAAUUGAAUAAAUUAUAUUUAUUACAAACUGAAA